rnacentral:rRNA from 1 species
CGCGUAGGGUGCGAGCGUUGUCCGGAAUUAUUGGGCGUAAAGAGCUCGUAGGCGGUGUGUCGCGUCGGCCGUGAAAACCUGCAGCUUAACUGUGGGCUUGCGGUCGAUACGGGCAUCACUGGAGUUCGGCAGGGGAGACUGGAAUUCCCGGUGUAGAGGUGAAAUUCGUAGAUAUCGGGAGGAACACCAGUGGCGAAGGCGGCGACCUGGACAGAUAUUGACGCUGAGGUGCGAAAGCGUGGGGAGCAAACAGG